AAUAAUUCGAUACAAGUACCAAAAGUAUUGGCCUCUAAGGCUUACACCAACACAUAUACAACCAGUCUACCAUUAUUCCACCUGCAUUCUCAGAUGCCAUCAAUAGCAUAUGUUCAUCCUCUGAAUCUCCUCUAGCUAUGUUGGCUUAUUCACCCUUGCUAACCUUGUUUGACCAAUAAUCAACAACAAAAUGGCUAAACAUUUUGCAAUUGUAGCACUGAACCUUUCUCU
rnacentral:lncRNA from 1 species